GACGAACGCUGGCGGCGUGCUUAACACAUGCAAGUCGAACGGAAAGGCCCUGCUUUUGUGGGGUGCUCGAGUGGCGAACGGGUGCGUAACACGUGAGUAACCUGCCCUUGACUUUGGGAUAACUUCAGGAAACUGGGGCUAAUACCGGACAGGAGCUCCCGCUGCAUGGUGGGGGUUGGAAAGUUGCGGCGGUUGGGGAUGGACUGGCGGCUUACCAGCUUGUUGGUGGGGUAGUGGCUUACCAAGGCAUUGACGGGUAGCCGGCCUGAGAGGGUGACCGGCCACAUUGGGACUGAGAUACGGCCCAGACGGCUACGUUAGGCAGUAGUGGGGAAUCUGGCACAAUGGGCGGAAGUCUGAUGCAGCGACGCCGCGGGCGGGAUGACGGCCUUCUGGUUGUGAACCGCUGUCGCCUGAGACGAAGCGUGAGUGACGGUAAUGGGUAAAGAAGCACCGGCUAACUACGUG
rnacentral:rRNA from 1 species